ensembl:lncRNA
GGCAUUUAUUAGUAGCUUGAAAUGCCUCCAGGACUUUGGCGCGUGUUUAUCACUGGCCUGCUGGAUUAGUAUUACAUUUCAGCAGGUUAUGAAGUCAGGUCGAAAGAAGAAAGCAAAAUAAACCGAAAGAAAAUCCACUCCCAGGCAGAGUGCUGCGGGAAGUGGAGAGGGGAGAGAACGGCACACGGUGAAAGAGCAGGGAGACAAUCCACUCUGCUGGGUGGACAUGGGGACAGCAUGCGUCGUGUUCCGGCCGGCGGUGCAUCACUUCACCGCUGUAUUUUUCAGAAUCUGCCUGCGACUCAUUGGAGAUUGGUUCAGCACCCCUACAUCAAUGACAGACGAGGUUUCUAAGAAGUCAC